GUUUUUCUGUGUGAACUGAUUGGGUGCUCUGUAAGAAUUUUAGUGAGCCUUAGAAUUAUUGUGGUGCUGCCACAUUGGCAGUCAUUAUUGCUUCUCUUUGUUCAUAUACUACUUGUAUGGUGGGCUGGAUGGAGACGUUGAUCGGGUGGCUGUAGCUCGGAAAUGGUUUGGGACAUUGUGUCGGUGCGGUGUCUGUCUUUCACUUCCCAUUGUGUUUGGUGGGCCCAUGUACUUAAUAUUUGUGCAAGGGUCGCACCGCUUUGACUUAAUCUGGAAGGCUCACUUAUCUCCCUCUCAAGUCCCUAGGCCAAAAAAGAAACAAAACAGAAAACUCUCGAGCCGACGAGCCCCACUGCGUCACCACCGCGGAUCCUCCCCUACCCCCGCUAUCCUCAGCCUGCGGUGGCGACGAAUCGCAAGGGCGGCAUGGACAGCAGCCCUAGCCCCAUCCGCACCUCUACCUAGGUCGCCGUCUCCCGAACUUGCGUCCAUCCUCUCGCCCACGUCCCCUUCAGUGCCGCCGCCCUACCUAAUCCCUCCAUCUCGCUUAGCAUCCGGCGGCGAGGAUAGGCAGCGCACACGCGGAGCAUCAGCGGCGGCUGGCGCGUCCUUGGUUCUGCUCCGUCCGGCGCGUCCUCCCCGCGGUUACUUCUUCCUCCACGGCAAGCGACAGCGGAGGAUAGCGGUAGGUCACGUCCAGCGCCGCGUCUCCUCCUCUUCCGCCUCCCCGCCAUCCGGUGCUCGGCCGCGCCCUUACGCACGCGCCCAGGAAACCCUGGCCCCUCCCUGGGAUUGGUCGUCGGCACUUCUCCGACGCCGCUGCACAUCCGGCUACUCCUCCCCGUGGAGCACGACUUCCUCUACUUCGUGUGCACCUCUUCCUCGACGUCCCCGAGCUCCUGCUACUGCCUGAUGGGAUGGCCGUGGCCUCCCGCAUCUUAGUGCGGUGGCCAAAGAAAUCACAGUAGCGAGGAGGAGCUUGAGUUGCAGCUUCAGGACAACGGGCUUCACCGAUUUGCUGCUCUUGUGAUAUUUUUAGGAGAAGAUGUUCCUGACGAGAAACACCCCUUGGGUAUGCUACUAAAUUUUUGUCUCCUAGAUUUGUGUGGUUUGUUUUUUCGCUCCUCGUGGUGGUGCUCUCGAUCUGUCCGUCCAGCAGUUCUGUGGUGCCAGCGCUGCUGGUGCCUAUGUGGAUUUGAUGGUUGCUGUGCCUCUGCGUUUCAGACCUCAACAAGAAGAUGUGUCAUGGGUAACGGUAACAGAAAAGAGGAAAGAAAGAACGAUGCCGUGAUUUAUUCACUACUAUCAUGGGUAACAGUUUAGCACAUGAUCUUGCUCAUCCUCAUAUCCAUGAGACCAUAAGGGACAAUUAUAUCUUAUUUCUUCCAUCAUUUGCUUUUAUACCAGUCCCGACAAAUAUUAAACCUGCAAAAGUGCCAUUCAUCACACUUUCACUACAUCUACAUGCCUCUGCAGGUACAUUUGUCAUCUUAAAUAUUAUCUCAAUCCUUCAUGGCCCAUUGAUCAUACAUCGAACUUCUCCAAUUUAAUCAGUUUUAGCUUUAUUUAUAAACAAGAUGAGAAGAUUUAUCAGUUUAUCAGCCUGGCCGAGCUACUGAAAAAGUGAAAAUACUGCAAUUCUUGGGUUACUGGCUUCAUGGAAAAAUUGAUAGGCAAUAUGCAAGCACAAGUAUCAAGAGGGUAGCUCGAGGUCUUUUCAACUUGGUAGCGAUGGCCGCGAUCAGUCUUGAUGUAACAGAUGGGGACGGUGCACCGACCUGGAGUACUUGACUGUUUAUGGUACAUCUCGCUGCGCCCUGCAUGUAUAGCAGGCAUUAUGGAUCUGUUUGUCCUAUUAUUUAGUGUAUACUUCGCACACAGGAUAUGCUUUCAAAUGGUAUUAUCAUUGGGUCAUUGGGUAAGUCGUUCCUGCUAUUGGCUUUCUGCUAAAGUUGCGAUUUCUAUGAAUUGAAUCAAAUUGGCACGAAUUGCCAAAACUGAAUCUGAAAUGUAGUCAUGUAUAAAGGGAGAUUACAUAGAGUAUAUAUAGAAAUGCUCCGCUGGUGCAAAAUAAAUACAUGUUACUGGAACCCAUCAGUACAUAAUUCAGAUAGGCUGAAUGGUAACACAUAAGUUGAAUCGGAAAAAGCACAGCUAGCGAGUGCUCGCUGUGUGAAACAUAUUUGCCAGUUCUCGGUUGAAAGCAUAUACCUUCUGCUUGCUACUAAUGACUAUCAAUUUUGGUUAUUAAAUCUUAGUUGAAAGGCAGGUAAUCCCUACUUGUGACAACUACUUAUUAAGUGAGGCUGGUGCAAUGGGUUAAACCUCAUCGAACUCUCCUGAGAUGACGCCUGCUCUAUCCAGAUGCUACUACACAAGUAAUGAAUCAAUUUGUUGCUGAACAUAGAAGACAAGAUGAUGGAGCGACCAAUGUUGGUGUGGACAACAAAGGUAGUUGAUGAUAGAAGUAAGCACGUGCUGGUUUCAUAUUGGUUUCAGAAGAACAAGCACACGAUCACAUAGUGUCAAAAUAGCAUAAGGACAAAGCGUCUAUAUUUUCUUAGUUUUGGUUUUCGAGAGAAUUAUAUCCUCAUUAAAGUCACAAGCCACACCAGCCCCGGCCUUCCCAGGAAAUCAUUUCUCUACCAUGGAUAGUAAGGAUGAUGACAAUAGGCGCUGAAGAACUAUGCAAAGGAAAGAAGAACUGUUCUGGUGUCUCGUUUUUGUGCAGAAAUCCAACUUUCGGGAAAAUCCUCGGAAUUUAUGCAGAAGGCCCUAUUUUCCCAGAAUACUGACGGAGCCAGAAGGUCAAGUAAGGUGGAGGCCCGAGGGCCCCACACCAUAAGGUGGCGCGGCCUAGGGGGGGCCCGCGUGGCCCUAUGGUGUGGCCCCCUCGGCCGGCCCCCGACGCCCUCCUUCGGACUACUUAUCGGCCUCGACCUAAAAACGCACGGAGAGAAGUCGAAGUCGCCAGAAACCCUCCAGAACGCCGCCACAUCGCGAAACUCCGUCGCGGGAGCCAGAAGUCUCCGUUCUGGCACUCCGCCGGGACGGGGAAUUGGAGGAGAUCAUCGCCAUCAUCACCGCCAACGCCUCUACAUCAACCAGCCAUGUUUCCCCCAUCCAUGUGUGAGUAAUUCCCCCGCUGUAGGCCAAAGGGGAUGGUAGGGAUUGGAUGAGAUUGGUCAUGUAAUAGCAUAAGAUUGUUAGGGCAUAGUGCCUAGUGUCCGUAAUUGGUACUUUGAUGAUAUUGUUGCAACUUGCUAUGCUUAAUGCUUGUCACUAGGGCCCGAGUGCCAUGAUCUCAGAUCUGAACAUGUUAUUGUUUCAUCAUGAUAUUCAUUGUUAUAUGAUC